rnacentral:rRNA from 1 species
GUCGAACGUUGUUUUCGGGGAGCUGGGCAGAAGGAAAAGAGGCUCCUAGCUAAAGGUAGCUUGUCUCGCCCGGCUUCAAAAUGGAAGGGCGCGCUACGCCUCAUACGUUUUGAAGCUUGGAACAGUUGAGAACAAAGUGGC